UACGUAGGGUGCAAGCGUUGUCCGGAAUUAUUGGGCGUAAAGAGCUUGUAGGCGGUUUGUCGCGUCUGCUGUGAAAUUUCGGGGCUCAACCCCGAACUUGCAGUGGGUACGGGCAGACUAGAGUGUGGUAGGGGAGAAUGGAAUUCCCGGUGUAGGCGGUGAAAUGCGCAGAUAUCGGGAGGAACACCGGUGGCGAAGGCGGCCCCCUGGUUGGGAUACUGACGCUGAGACGCGAAAGCGUGGG
rnacentral:rRNA from 1 species